UUAACGGAAAUUUCACGUAAUGUGCGUUACGUCUCUUUUUUUUAUUGUACCUAAUCUGUCAACGUGUGAUAAAUGUUUUCGCAAUAAAAUUACAGAUAUUAAGAUUUAAGCGCGAAUUUAAAAUCAAUAGCGAAAAACGCUUAUCUAUUCAUACUUCUAUAGUCAUCAUUUAAGCUUUUUAAUUUACAGUUACUCAGAUAUAACAGAUUUAAUUAUUAAAAAUCUAUUAACGAUUAACCUGUUUCUACUAUUUAAAUAUAUUGCAUAUCUGUACAUCUUUGAAAAAAAAAGAGCAGAUAAAAGAGAAAAGUGAAUUAAUUCAUUUACAUGUAGCAGUGAAAUCUCAGAAAACGCACCGUUAUAAACUUGACACAAAAAAAAUUACAAAGCAGUCGUCUGGACUGCUUUGGACUUUACAAGUCGUGAAAACGCGUGUUCUAACGACUUCGGAAGUUCUUCGAUUCGCGCCGGUUAGAAAAAAGCUGUAAGAACACGUCAGUGGAAAAAGAUGUACAUAUACGGCAGUGGAACAAGAAGAUAAGUCCGGCCGCAGUGGAAAAAGAAGCGAGAAGUCAUUCUGGCAAAUUCACACUGAAAGUAUUUUCAAGCUGAGGCAUCUCGCCGGGAAAGCUCACACGGAUCAACGGCAUAUACAGGAGUGAAAUGAUCUCUCCUGAAUAAAAAAAAAAUUCGAAAAACAAAA